rnacentral:rRNA from 1 species
AGAUUGAACGCUGGCGGCAGGCCUAACACAUGCAAGUCGAGCGGUAGAGAGGUGCUUGCACCUCUUGAGAGCGGCGGACGGGUGAGUAAUGCCUAGGAAUCUGCCUAGUGGUGGGGGAUAACGUUCGGAAACGGACGCUAAUACCGCAUACGUCCUACGGGAGAAAGCGGGGGACCUUCGGGCCUCGCGCCAUUAGAUGAGCCUAGGUCGGAUUAGCUAGUUGGUGAGGUAAUGGCUCACCAAGGCGACGAUCCGUAACUGGUCUGAGAGGAUGAUCAGUCACACUGGAACUGAGACACGGUCCAGACUCCUACGGGAGGCAGCAGUGGGGAAUAUUGGACAAUGGGCGAAAGCCUGAUCCAGCCAUGCCGCGUGUGUGAAGAAGGUCUUCGGAUUGUAAAGCACUUUAAGUUGGAGGAAGGCUGUAACUUAAUACGUUGCAACUUUGACGUUACGACAGAAUAAGCACGGCUAACCUCUGCCAGCAGCCG